UGUUAAAAAUUUCAGCUAUUUCAACUGUUUAAACUGGUGUGGCUAAUGAAAUAUUCAAACAGUUAAACAUGGCGUGCCACGUGCAUCUCAUGUUAAUUUACAAAAAUCAGUUUUUAACAGUAAAAAUUGAUGGAAUUUUUAACA
rfam:Gossypium hirsutum cultivar TM-1 chromosome 20, whole genome shotgun sequence